CUUGCGGAAGGAUCAU
rnacentral:rRNA from 1 species